AGGCGUUCCUGUUUUCUUAGUCUCCUGGCUCUGUACAGGGAAUGGAAGCUACAACUGGGAAUUUGAAUCUGAACAAAAAGAGAAAAGAAACUAAAGCCUUUUUCUGAGCUGGGUAAAGGAAAAUAGGUUACUAUGGAUAAAAUGGACAAAAUUGCUGCCUGCAGAAUUUAACCUCUUUCCUGUCCUGGAAGAGACCUGUUGCAUAUCAGGGUCCAUCCUCCCUCCAAAUGAAGAAGAGUUAGCCCCCUAUCAAGAACAACAGAACCUCUGAGUCAGGAAUAAUCUUUUUCCAGGGACACAAAGGCUUGCCUGCUAGAUCAUAACAGACAAUUCCGCAUCUACAGGUUUUAAUGAUAAAACUUCUCUUUUUCCCUUUGGAAGUUUGCCCCAAAUGGAAAUUCACAAUCCUGAAUAUCAACCAAGAAACUGACUCUCAAUCAAGAAACCUGUUUCUAUACCAUGAAGCCAUCUGAGCUUGCCUCCAGAAAAGACAGCAUCAUGUAGGAGGCAAGUAAUGUGUUGAAAAUCUCUGAGAUCAGCAAUUCCCAAGUGUGUUCCAGUACAUGAGCCAUGUCCAAUAUAGAGCAGCAAAACUUCUCAGAUGAUCCCUAGAAUCAUGAAAUAAACAGAUCUUGUUGUUUAAGCC
rnacentral:lncRNA from 1 species